rnacentral:rRNA from 1 species
GAUGAACGCUGGCGGCGUGCCUAACACAUGCAAGUCGAACGAAGCACCUGAACUCGAUUUCUUCGGAAAGAAGGUUCUUGUGACUGAGUGGCGGACGGGUGAGUAACGCGUGGGUAACCUGCCUCAUACAAGGGGAUAACAGUUAGAAAUGGCUGCUAAUACCGUAUAAGACCACAGCACCGCAUGGUGCGGUGGUAAAAACUCCGGUGGUAUGAGAUGGACCCGCGUCUGAUUAGCU